GAUGAACGCUGGCGGCGUGCCUAAUACAUGCAAGUCGAGCGAACGGACGAGAAGCUUGCUUCUCUGAUGUUAGCGGCGGACGGGUGAGUAACACGUGGAUAACCUACCUAUAAGACUGGGAUAACUUCGGGAAACCGGAGCUAAUACCGGAUGAUAUUUUGAACCGCAUGGUUCAAAAGUGAAAGACGGUCUUGCUGUCACUUAUAGAUGGAUCCGCGCUGCAUUAGCUAGUUGGUAAGGUAACGGCUUACCAAGGCAACGAUGCAUAGCCGACCUGAGAGGGUGAUCGGCCACCCUGGAACUGAGACACGGUCCAGACUCCUACGGGAGGCAGCAGUAGGGAAUCUUCCGCAAUGGGCGAAAGCCUGACGGAGCAACGCCGCGUGAGUGAUGAAGGUCUUCGGAUCGUAAAACUCUGUUAGUAGGGAAGAACAUAUGUGUAAGUAACUGUGCACAUCUUGACGGUACCUAAUCAGAAAGCCACGGCUAACUACGUG
rnacentral:rRNA from 1 species